AAGAACGCUGGCAGCGUGCAUAACACAUGCAAGUCGAACGAUGAAGCAUUCUUCGGAAUGUGGAAGAGUGGCGAACGGGUGAGGAACACGUAAGAAUCUGCCCCUCAGUCGGGGACAACCCUUGGAAACGAGGGCUAAUACCCGAUACGCUGUGGAGUGAAAGAAUUUCGCUGAGGGAUGAUCUUGCGUCUGAUUAGCUAGUUGGUGUGGUAAUGGCACACCAAGGCGACGAUCAGUAGCUGGUCUGAGAGGAUGAACAGCCACAUUGGAACUGAGACACGGUCCAAACUCCUACGGGAGGCAGCAGUGGGGAAUUUUCCGCAAUGGACGAAAGUCUGACGGAGCGACGCUGCGUGAAGGAUGACGGCCUGCGGGUUGUAAACUUCUUUUCUCGAAGAAGAAGCUCUGACGGUAUUCGAGGAAUAAGCAUCGGCUAACUCCGUGCCAGCAGCCGCGGUAAGACGGAGGAUGCAAGUGUUAUUCGGAAUGAUUGGGCGUAAAGAGUCUGUAGGCUGUAUGGAAAGUCUUUUGUUAAAUGCCUCGGCUCAACCGAGAUCCAGCAAAGGAAACUUCUAUACUUGAG
rnacentral:rRNA from 1 species